rnacentral:rRNA from 1 species
UACGUAGGGGGCAAGCGUUGUCCGGAUUUAUUGGGCGUAAAGAGCGUGUAGGCGGCCAGGUAGGUCUGCUGUGAAAACCCGAGGCUUAACCUCGAGAUGUCGGCGGAAACCCUCUGGCUAGAGUCCGGAAGAGGAGAGUGGAAUUCCUGGUGUAGCGGUGAAAUGCGCAGAUAUCAGGAAGAACACCCGUGGCGAAGGCGGCUCUCUGGGGACGGUACUGACGCUGAGACGCGAAAGCGUGGGGAGCAAACAGG